rnacentral:rRNA from 1 species
UUAAGCCAUGCAUGUCUCAGUAUAAGCUUCUAUACGGCGAAACUGCGAAUGGCUCAUUAAAACAGUUAUAGUUUAUUUGGUGGUCAGCAAUUACAUGGAUAACCGUGGUAAUUCUAGAGCUAAUACAUGCGUCCAAACCCGACUUCGUGGAAGGGUUGUGUUUAUUAGAUACAGAACCAACCCAGGCUCCGCCUGGCCUUGAGGUGAUUCAUAAUAACCGAACGAAUCGCAUGGCUAUGCCGGCGAUAGACCAUUCAAGUUUCUGACCUAUCAGCUAUCGUCGGUAGGGUAUUGGCCUACCGUGGCAAUGACGGGUAACGGAGAAUUAGGGUUCGAUUCCGGAGAGGGAGCCUGAGAAACGGCUACCACAUCUAAGGAAGGCAGCAGGCGCGCAAAUUACCCAAUCCUGACGCAGGGAGGUAGUGACAAGAAAUAACAAUACAGGGCAUACAUGUCUUGUAAUUGGAAUGAGUAAACUUUAAAUCACUUUACGAGUAUCAAUUGGAGG